CUGCUUAUCAGGAAGUGCCCUACAGCACUGCAUUGUGAAAUCUGGGGGAAGAACCCAUGCUACAGUGUUACUUCUUAUUUUAGGAGCAAAAUGUCUGUCACUUCUGUAAGGCUGUUUGAAGAGAAAGAAGACAAGCAUUGGGAUUUUGUGUGACCUACUGUGGUAGGUAAUUCUUCAUCUCUGAAGAAUAUACAUUCUACAGUCCUUAGAAAGUAUGUUGGAAA
rnacentral:lncRNA from 1 species